rnacentral:lncRNA from 1 species
ACGACACAUUACUCGAUGAAUCUUUUCGUGAGUACGAGGGUUACGUCCCUCAUUACGACGCUCGCACCCGCAGCGUGAACUGGUGCCACACAGAGCGCCCUACCGACUGCCUCCAAACUAACGGGAUGGAAGACGUUGACCCGUACAACUUCAGUGCGCUGCUGCAGGCGAGCAAGAAGCCUGACCUGAGCGACCUGAAGGAGGCCUUCACUCCCUCGGCUGAAGAAAUUCACGACUUAGGCGUUAAACCUCAAGAGUUUAUCACUGCUUGCACCUUCGACCAGACCAGCUGCUCCUUCAAGGAUUUCUACGUAUGGCAAAGCGACUCAUACGGCAACUGCUUCACGUUCAACUC